GAGUAAUGUCUGGGAAACUGCCUGAUGGAGGGGGAUAACUACUGGAAACGGUGGCUAAUACCGCAUAACGUCGCAAGACCAAAGAGGGGGACCUUCGGGCCUCUUGCCAUCAGAUGUGCCCAGAUGGGAUUAGCUUGUUGGUGAGGUAACGGCUCACCAAGGCGACGAUCCCUAGCUGGUCUGAGAGGAUGACCAGCCACACUGGAACUGAGACACGGUCCAGACUCCUACGGGAGGCAGCAGUGGGGAAUAUUGCACAAUGGGCGCAAGCCUGAUGCAGCCAUGCCGCGUGUAUGAAGAAGGCCUUCGGGUUGUAAAGUACUUUCAGCGGGGAGGAAGGUGUUGUGGUUAAUAACCGCAGCAAUUGACGUUACCCGCAGAAGAAGCACCGGCUAACUCCGUGCCAGCAGCCGCGGUAAUACGGAGGGUGCAAGCGUUAAUCGGAAUUACUGGGCGUAAAGCGCACGCAGGCGGUCUGUCAAGUCGGAUGUGAAAUCCCCGGGCUCAACCUGGGAACUGCAUUCGAAACUGGCAGGCUUGAGUCUUGUAGAGGGGGGUAGAAUUCCAGGUGUAGCGGUGAAAUGCGUAGAGAUCUGGAGGAAUACCGGUGGCGAAGGCGGCCCCCUGGACAAAGACUGACGCUCAGGUGCGAAAGCGUGGGGAG
rnacentral:rRNA from 1 species